rnacentral:rRNA from 1 species
UUGACCUCGGAUCAGGUAGGGAUACCCGCUGAACUUAAGCAUAUCAAUAAGCGGAGGAAGGCCACGGCCGUAAAACACCCCAAAUUUUCUGAAAUGUUGACCUCGGAUCAGGUAGGAAUACCCGCUGAACUUAAGCAUAUCAAUAAGCGGAGGAA